rnacentral:tRNA from 1 species
GAUGGGUCAGACCCCUCUAGGCUAGGGGGGAGGACUUAAGAUCCUCUGGCGUAGGCCGUCGUGGGUUCAAGUCCCACCCCCGGCACCA